AAUAAACGCGCCCUCUUCAAUUGGUGUAGAGGGAGCGCGUCGCGAUGACGUGGCACGCGUGCAUCUGAGUGAAGUGUGGUUAGAUCGACAAUCGUAAUGUUCAUGUGCGUGAUUUGCUCAACGAUAUUUACAAAUUUUACAAGUCCAGUUGUACUGCGUACGAAAAUAUGGCAGCUCGCGGAGUUACGACGUCUGACCUUGACAGUUGCCUUGGUCAUGGGACGUAGUAUCGCCUUCUUCGGUCUUGUCGUUGAUCGGAAUCGGCAAAAAACAUAUCUUCGUGAUCGGUCUAGUGUACUCAGGGCGUGCCGUUUUGACCUUGACCACGCGGACGAGCCCAUCGUCCCCAGGAUGGCAAGCGGUGAUACGGCCGAAUUCCCACAUACUGGGUGGAAGGUUGGCGUUGCGAAGGAGCACAAUUUGGCCUACUCUGAAAGACGCUGAACCAUCUGCCAGCGAGACAGUCUUUCCUCCCUAAGGUUAAGUACACUUGGUUCCAGUGGAGUCGCAAGGUUUGUCCCGAUGAGGAAGUGGGCUGGUGUCAACACUUCGAAGUCAUCGAUACUGUUUGACAUAGCAGCGAGGGGGCGUGAGUUUAAGCACGCCUCAAUGCGACAGAGAAGCGUUCCCAUCUCUUCUUGGUCCCCCAAAAUGUGGAGCAGCUGGGGGUAUAAACUUCCAUUUCACUCCAUCAACGGCGAUUCGAUUAGCGAAAUUUGGGUCGUCGACUGCUGCUCGGAACGCCUGGUCGAGUUCCUUGUUUGCUCCUUGAAAGGUGGUGCCAUUAUCGGAGUAAAGGAACGUCGGCAUUCCUCGUCGGGCUACAAACCUGUGGAAUGCGGCAACGAAUGCGGCGGAGGAAUAAUCAUUCACCAAUUCGAGCUGGGAAGUUUCCCAUGAGUUCCUUGGGGGCUUCUGCCCUCUCGCGAGUACAUGGCACACAAUUGUACAACACGGCGCGAAUAGUGGCUCUGGCUCUGAGUAUCCAGAACUCAGUUCUCAGUUUGGCAAGAGUUAAUAAUGGUCCAGCGUGCAAAUUUUGCAACUAAUGGCGAGUUCAUCAGACGACCUCGAGCUCGAAUAAGUCCUUCAGAGUCAAGGAAUGGUACCAAUGCACUGAUUGGGCUUGACUUAGGAAUCGGUGUGGAGGCCUUAAGAAGUUGGAGUUCAUGGGGAAAUGAUUCAGCUUGCAUGUAUCGCAGCAAAAAGAGUUUCGCUCGCUCCACUUCACAAGGUCGCAAGGUCAUGGAAUUUGAAACGGUCGGUCGAGGUGAGUGCUUUUUAAAAGUUUUCGUAUGGUUUUAUCGAGGAAACGAUAUAAAUAUGCGGCGACUCUUUGCAAUUUUGGCCACGAGGAAAACCGCGUCAUUAGUUGCCAUGUUUCCUCGACUGCGAGUGCGCAAUUUAAUUCGCGAAUUCUUUCUUCUGACGAAUUAUCAAUGACGCCUUGAAACGACGCCGGCCAAGAAUCCGAGGAAGCAGACAACCAUGACGGACCGUGCCACCACAAAAUAUGGUUGCUAAGUUGGGAGGGAUAGAGACCGCGAGAAGCGCAAUCAGCAGGGUUGUCACGAGUUGGCACAUAACGCCAUGCAAUGUCUGGUAGUAAUUGCUGUACUUUCGCUACUCGAUUGGCAACGAAGGUUUUCCAGCGGAAUGGAGGCUGUGGCAACCACUGCAAGGUUAUGCUUGAGUCGGUCCAACAAUAACAAUCGAUCUCCCGGGUUGGAAACGAAUUUUUAAAAAAAUUCAUUAAUUUUGCAAGUAACAAAGCGGCGCACAAUUCAAGCCUUGGAACUGUGACGAUUUUCAACGGUGCAACUCUGGAUUUCGCGGCGAUGAGGUUUACCGAAAUUCUACCACCCGAAAGUGUAUCGCGUUGAUAAACUACGGCGGCAUAGGCCUUGGUGGAUGCAUCGGCAAAUCCGUGAAAUUGCGUAUCUAUUGGCUGACUUGGGGAAACUCUUCGCGGUAAUUGCAAAUCAGCUAAUGCGGUGAAUUGGUCGUAAAACAUGAGCCAUUCUUGACGAAUGUCAUCAGAAAGUUCUUCAUCCCAAUCUGUACGGGCUAACCAUAAUCUUUGAAUGAAAAUUUUGGCAGUUAUAACAAUAGAAGUAAUCCAGCCCGGUGGAUCAAAUAGGCGUGGUACCGUAGACAACACAGCUCGUUUCGUCGUUGGAGGAUCACCAAUGUUAAUAGGACGAAACUGGAAGGAGUCUGAAUUAGCGUUCCAAGCUAGCCCUAAAACUGAGAGGGUUUUUUCGGUUGGAAAUCCCUGGUCGUGAGCGAGUCCAUGUUAGAUAAUGUUUGAUAAGCAUAACAAAAUUUAUUAAUAGUAGUAAUUCUCUCUCUCUCUCUCUCUCUCUCUCUCUCUCUCUCUCUCCGCUUUACGACGAUUUUUACAGUGGUGCUGAUGAGAACGGCGAAGAACAAUAUUAUCGGAAGAAAAUUCGACUUACAAUGGGUGGUGUGGAGGCGUCCUUUACAAUGAAUCUGGUAGAGGUACAAUCAGGUUGAAAGGCUCGUUCGUGCCCGCGUUGGUAGGCAGCACAGCAGUGGCGAAUUUGGAUGGAAAAUAAUCUUUUUGGAGUGGCUCGUGUUCGCAAACACACGCGCGCGCGCGCAACAGAACACUCGCGGAGAACAGUUUAAAAGCCAAUUAUGCGGUGAGAUUAUAAUUACUAAUUAUAAAGUAGGAAAUUAUAUCUUAAACUAUUCCUAAUUAUAAGAGGCGAAACAAAAAUAUGAACAAAAGGAAUUUAUAACGCGGCGAACUGAGUCUUUUCGCGGUGAAUGUUGCACAUUGAAGGAACACUUCAAUCGGGAACUCCGGCUCAAAAUUAUAAAAAGAUAGCUAAAGGUCGCUCGCGGGCUUCCGUUACGCUUGACGCGACUUUACAACGAAAAGUGACUUCGACUUUGCUGCUUCGAGCGCAGCUCGGUUCAAAGUUUAUGAAAAUGCUUGCGCUGCAUUCUGCGCUGCUGCGAAUCAGAGUGCAGCGCUAACAAAAAUGAAUUUUAAUUGGCCAGGUUCCUUAGCUGAUUAAAGUGUUCUUGCGCUCUGCCCAAAUCCUCAAAUCGCGACGCUGUAUGUACAAUCUAACUUAUAAGUUUUUCUGCGUGGGUCCCGUACAGCCUGCCAACGGGAGAGAGAGAGAGAGAUGGACGGUCGAAACGCUGCGCUGGGUUUCGCGGCGGACUGUAUAGUGGUGUGAGGCGUUUUUCAGAAAAUGCUUAGCUUAAAACGUGAUUUUUAGAAGUUCGCGCCGGAAGUUCGAUGUACAAUUCAGACGAUAAGACGUAAGAAGAUCUUUAUCUGCGUCAGACAGUUUUUGAAUUUUGAUAUAUUUCUACCUAACGUGAGGCGACUGAUCCUUGAAAACAAUACCUAUCUACGCUUUAUAAUUAUUACACGCUCUGGAGAAUGGCAAAAUUAUUAUGGCUUAUUCGUUUCAUCGCGCAACGUAAUGUCAAUAGGGUAACGACGCUGAUCUUCCAGGGAGAGAUUGUUAUACGGUGUUUAUCUUUUAGGAAAUAUUUUAAUCGUCAAAGGCUAGAUUUGUGCUCGAUUAGAAAGAAUUCGGGAUGGUAAACCAUCUCGAACACAUUCCUGCUGACGAAAUCAAGAUAAAUAAAAAAAAUUAAGUUGUCGGCACGUAACACUGCAAAUCUCAGAAAAAUAAUCCGCAUAUCCAAAUUUUUGAUCAAGUGUAAUUAGAACGUACUUUGAUUAAACAAAACAUAUACAUAGAUAUGUACGACUUCACUUUAUUCACGUUAUUUGGCCAUUAAAACAAUUGUUAUCUCUGGCUACCCCGUUUAUUCUGAUUCACAUCGAUCUUGAUCUAAAAGUUGCGAUUAUAAUCUUGAUUAAAAAACCUGUUGUCAUUUAAGAGGAAAUUUACGCACAGAAUUAUUCAUGAAGUGGAUCUAAUAUCUACCUGCAUAUACAAUGGAAAUUUGUAAUGGGAGAAGAAAAAAUUCUUUUAUAUACGUUUAUGACGGAUAUUGCUAUGAUAAAGAUUCUAAGAACCCGAAAAUCUAUCGUUGUUCUGGACGGCAAACUAAGAAAUGUACAGGAACAUUAAUUCAAAAAGAUGAAGAUUAUUUUUUGCAAAAAUCACACACUCAUCCUAACGAACCGCGCAGAGGAGAAAUAUUAAAAUUAAAAUCAGCCAUGCUGGAGGAAUGCAGUAAACAUCCUUCACUAAAUAAUAAAGAUAUCUUUGACAAUAUUUGUUGUACAAAUCUUGUUGCAGCAACACAUAUUUCAUACAACAGUAUGAAAUGCACACGAAAUAUUAAAAAAUUAUGAUGUGCUGAAUGAAAUUUACAAGAGAUGUGCAAUUUCUAAUAAUAAUAAAUACGCUGUUACGAGCCAGGGCGAUAGCGACGCGCGUGUGAGCACUGCGAGUGGGAUGGAUUCGAGAAUUGGAUCGAUAUGAUUAAUUAGUAUGUAUCAAUGGAGCCGAAGAUUUGAGGAUAGAGUAGAUAAUGCAGACGACUCUGACGCGAAGUCAGAUAGUUGCAGGAAUCGGUAUCUCCCAGUAAAGGGUAACCGUAGGUUAGGGUGUUUGGUUGUUGGUUAUUGGAGACAAAUGCAGACGCCUCGGACGUUAAGUCAGAUAGCUGCAGGAAUCGGUAUCUCACAGGUAAGGAUAACCGUAGGGUAAAGGUUCCAAUUGUGAAGUUAUUGGAAAAGUGCAGCGACUCUGGCGCGAAGUCAGAUAGCUAGCAGGAAUCGGUAUCUCCCAGUAAAGGGUAACCGCAGGAUAGGUUGAAUUAGGGAAUUCGGGUUGAAUACACUGAGCUUAAAUCGUAUCGUUGAUGAAUACUACGCGUCGCGGAUAAAGCCUCGCAACUUAUUAAUUUAAUUGAAUAAUAACUCGAGCGGCAAAGUUAUUAUGUUGUGGGAUCGUUACACAGGCUAGGAUUGCUUGUUAUAUCGUGAAGGUUCAGUAAUUGACUUAGGAAACUUUGAAUUUACACAAAAGAAUAUAUAUUCAGAAUAACUAUACUAAGUUACAAAUGUGCAGUGUUGUGUUGUCGCGGUCGUGUGUAGUAAACGUUAAAUUUAAUUACCUAAUUGUUGCACGGUGUUAACGCACUGGCGAUGCGGGGGUCGAGUGUGAUUCUAAAUGCCGUAAUAGAUGAAAACCGUCUUCGCGGAUCUAUAAGGUUAACUUGAUCGAAAGGGAAACUGAAGCCCGAUCUCACUAAAGCACACUCUGCAACGAUGGACGAGAUGUGACUCUACCUAACUCUAUCGUUCUAAUCCCCUGAGCAACGAAAAUCGUGGGUUUAUAUACCCCUAAAUGUUGGUGGGAUCCGUCGGUGAUUUCCAUAUUUGGAAAUCUGACGGUUAGGAUUUUCGUGGCUCUGAGGUGAGCAGCUGCGUUCCCUGGGAAAGGGUAGAUAAGAAGUCUUCCCACGCAACGCAAGUCGAAGAUGAUGUUAAGAGUAUGCAGCUGCAGGAUGCACUCCAGGGAGACCGAGCUCCAAAUUCCAGGAGGGUAGAUAAAAUAAAAUUGAUGAACGCGAGCUUCGGAAACAAACAGCGAGUUUCUGUAUGCGUAACAAUGACAACGUGCGCUUUAACUCUAUUUUAUAUUCACAACCAGUUUGAUCCGUAUUUAUAACUAACCUAUCGUCGAAUGAAGAUAUUACAUCGCGUACCUGGUGGAACCAAGGUGGAACCACCCAAUAUUAAAAAUGUAUAGUUUUUCGUUAAUUAUUAAGUUUGUAAAUAGUGUAAAAUUUUUUCUUAACUGCUUUAUUAAAUUUUAAAUGAAUUUUAUUUGAUUUAAAGAUUACAAUUCAAAAAAUUAAAGUUUUUGUCCUUUUUUUAUGCAAAUUGUCUUCGAAAUCGGGUGUUUAUUUUUCGACACACGCGAACCUCUUCUGUCUAAUUAAAAAGCAAAAAUUAACCCUUCCGCUUUGGCAGGGCAUUUUUCUAACACACGCAUUGGAACACGGUAAGAGCGCGGCGCGACCCCGCGAGGAACGCAGAAGACAGGGAAAGUGGAAGAGUACCGAGUGGAGUACGAUGGGUUGCCUAGCUGCCGGGCGCUCUUGAAUGCUGGCUCCGUCCGACUCACUUAACUACUCUUUCAAAUCUGCUCCGAUUUGACAACGAAAGCGUGAUUAAAAAAAUCUGAAUUUUUGAGGACCUGUUAAUAAAGCAUUCGCGCAUCCGAUACCAUGAACGGCAUUGACGUGGGGUUGCUCGUUCACCCUGCAGAUGGGCCUGAAGUUGGGGGUGGGUUUUCCCUAAAAACGACAUUUUCGUAUUUUAUUGCCAUUCACGCAGGAAAAAGACAUCAAAACUGUGUCGCACCGAUGCCCUGGACUAUUGGACAUGUAAUUCACGCAACGAAACAACGUUCCAACCCUUACACUUGUGGAUGGACCACCCCUACCUCUGCCCUCCCCCUUCAGCUCCGGGGGCAGUUUUCGAAACGGGACCUUUUCGGCAUUCAUCCUUAACAUAUCGAGAAGAAAUAUGGUGAAUUUCAUCGCCGCCCAAUGUGUGGAAGUACUCCCUUACGAAAGGGGUUGAAAAUUCGCGAGCUGUUCCACCCCCCCAAAGGGUGCCUAUGGGGUGCACGGUAUGGGUGAUAGCAUUUUCUGGAUCAGGGGGGUCCAGAGAAUGCAUUGAGCCUAAAAUCGAGACCGUCGUACAAAAAUUGUGGAUUUUAGAGGGGGUGCGUUUUGUAGAGGGCAUCAAGUAAAGUCGCCCCAAAGGUUUUUUUGAAUUUUUCAACCUCUUCCGUCAUCUCUGGCCUGUUUCAAAGAGCCGUUUUUCAACCAUCGCCAAUGCAACUUUACACACGCCUAGGGGACACUUCAAAAGUACUCCUCACGCAGUUUCAUUUCAAUCGGUUGAAAACUCCCAUAGUUACGACGGUUUGAAAAAGUGUCCGAUUUAUUUCGACACCUCGGUUGGGUAUACAUUGUAAGUACGUAUAACCAAAUAUUCAAGUCCGACCAGCUUCGAAUCCGUCUAGAGUUUCGAAGCGUCGACGAAGUAGAAAAAGACAGAUUGAUGAAGAAGAAAGAGAGACUGAUAAGGAAUGUUUUUUAGGUGUCUGCCUCCGAUUGUUUUGAGUUUUGAAUAUGUUUUGAAGGGCCGAAAAAUAAGAUAUACCUACUUUUUAUUUUGUCCCGUUUUCAUAUUUAGGGGGUGAAACGAUAUAAAGUUUCAGCUCCAAUAGGCUAUCUCCGAAACUAUCAUAGGUAGAAGAAAUCUUUUUAAGAAAAAGUUUCGUGGUUUUCUAUAUGCAUAUAAAAUCGGACCCAACAUUUUGUGAAAAAAAUAAUUUCUUUAUAAUAAAGAAUUUGUUUCUAACAUUAUUUUAAAUCGCAGUUUAUAGAAUAACCAAAAUGAACAUAUUUUUUUUUUCUGAAUCUAUUGAUGUAUAACAUUGUUACGUAUGCACACCCGUUCUUUUCGAAGCUCGCAUUCAUUUAUUUUAUCUACCCCUUGGAAUGUGGAGUCUGGUCUUACCGAAGUGCACCCUGCAGCUGUACCAUACUUUUCUCAGAAUCAUCUUUUAUCUCGCGCUGCGUGGGUAACCCUUAUCUAAACUUUCCCUAAAGCCACACAGAUGUUCACCUAUGACGUAUCCCCACCAAUAUCUAGGGGUAUAUAAACCCAUGAUUUUCGUUACUCGAGGGAUUAGUACGAAAGAGUUACUUGGUAAAGUCACGUCGAUCGUCUUCAGAGUUGCGCUUCAGUGAGAUCGGGCUUCAAAUCCCUUUCGAUCAACAUUAACCAUAUAGAUCCGCGAGGACGGUACAAAAUCUAUUACGGUAUAGAAGCAUUCUUGACCCCCGCAUCGCCAGUGCGUUAACACCGUGCAACAAUUAGGUAAUUAAAUUCAUACACUAACCGCGACAACACGACACUGUACAAUUGUAUUAUUAGAAUUAUUCAGUUUUGAAUAUAUAAUCAUUUUUUAACCUUAAAAGGUCUGUUAAAUCAUUAUUAAACCUUCACUAUUGGAAUAAACAAUCCUUACCAGUGUAACGACCCCACAACAUAAUAACUUUACCGCUCGAGUUAUUAUUUGUUUAGAAUUAAUAGUUGCGAGGCUUUAUCCACGACGCGUAUUAUAUUCCAACGAUACGAUUCAAUCCCUACCUAACCUUCCCAACGGUUACCCUUUACCGGGAGAUACCAAUUCCCAGCAGCUAUCUGACUUCGCGUCGAGGUCGUCUGCGAUUUCUACUCCAUCCUCAAUCUUUGAACUCAUUGAAAUAAACAGGACUAAUCGUAUCUUCUUCGAUUCUUGAAUUCAACCCACUCGCAGAGCUCACACGCGCGUCGCUAUCGCCCUGGCUCGUAACAACAUGUACCUGAUUAUAUAUGUGUGUUGUUUGCGAAAAACAAUAGCUAUAACCUAUAACAAAGAUAAUGAUCGUACGUCUAUAUUUGACAUGAUCGCGACCCGGCGCGACGUAUCUGCGCGAUGCAUACAAUACACCCCUCCUCAGAAGUAUGUGGACACUAAAUAUCUAAUAACAGUUGCAAAUCUAUUAAUAUCCAUUGUAUUAUUUAUCUUUCGAUAUGUUUAUGUUGUAUUAGCGAAUAUAUUUUAUUAAUAGUCUUUUUUUAAUAUCAUAUGAGUAAUGAUAAAAACCUUUAGAGAUAACUAGAUUAUAUUAUCAUUUUUUUUUACCAAACUUGGAUACUAUUAAUUUCUUCAUUGUGUCCGCAGUAAUAUUAUCUCAUUUUUUUUUGUAAUAUUUCGCCAUAAAUGUGUUUGAUAUAUUGAACAUUCUUUCUGAACUUUCCUAUCUAAACGAUCCCAUAGUUCCACUAAAAAAUUAAACAUGGCAGUGGAAAUAUUUAAUAUAAUCAAAUGUUGUUAAAUACAUCCAAUAUAGAAUUUAGCAACAAAAGAUGUAUAGUAAUAAUUUACGAUGUACAUUAAUUAUUUAUUGAAAGUAGUACGUGUCCACAUAUUUAUGAGCGAGAAAGUUCCAGAGAAAGCAUUGAGCCCAAAAUCGAGACCGUCGUCCAAAAAUUGUGGAUUUUAGAGGGGGUGGGUUUGUCCGAGAGGGAUUUCAAGGGGCGCUUUUUGUAGAGGGCAUCGAGGAGAGUCGCCCCAAAGGUUUUUUUGAAUUUUUCAACCUCUUCCGUCAUCCCUGACCUGUUUCAAAGAGGCGUUUUUCAACCAUUGCCAAUGCAACUGUACAUACGCCUAGGGGACACUUCAAAAGUACUCCUCACGCAGUUUCAUUUCAAUCGGUUGAAAACUCCCAUAGUUACGACGAUUUGAAAAAGUGUCCCGCUAAUUUUUGGGAGUAGUGUAUAUCUCAAUUUCGCUUGCUAAGAGCGAAUUAUAUUUCUCGCUUCGUUCAGAAACAGCAGAAAUCGCCACCUCGUUUUCAUCGGCCAGCCGUGUCUCUAUGGGUAUUACCAUUUCUAUGCAGAAAUAUCUGCUGUAAUACCGACCAGCCAAAUCGGAGAGGUCACGUGCCGUGUCUAGCCCCUUAGAGCUCUUUCACACGACGAUACGCAUAUGCAGGAUACCGAUGGAACAUAUAAUGUUAUGGAAGCGUUCAGACGGCGAUUUUCGUGAGAUACAGUAUCGCGAUACUGAUUUUCGGUAUCCGCGGUUGGUCGGCCGCCGGCAACUUUUUCUGCGUCGGGGCGGCCGACGAAACAUUGAAAUAGAUGCGAGCAUUCACACGACGCUGCGCAGUAUCGUCGAAUUCGUUCACCUUCCUCAUAACAAAAUUUUAGACAUAAUAAUUGAAGAAUUUACAUGGAUCGUUACAAAGUUCUUCGAAUAAAAUAUGAAAAGCUCCCGUUUCUUCUCUUAUAUUAUUAAUAGGAUGAACCCAAUAUUUUCUCUUAACUUUUCUCCUUUUAGUAGCUUUUUUAUGUAGAAACCAAAUAGAUAAAGCUUCAAUCUCAUCCAUUAUUUCAGAAAGGUUUUCACUAACUAAGAAUGCGUGUUUCUCAAACGAAAAGAUAUGUUUAACUGAAAAACAAAUGAUCAACACCGAGCUACGAAAUUAGUUGGAUACAGUAUCGCAUAAGUAUCUUGCUAGCAUAUACGUAUCGCAUACGCGUAUUGCGAUACGCGUAUCGUCGUGUGAAAGAGCUCUUAAGGGUUGCUGUGUCUCGCUGGCGCGUUUUCUCUCUCUCUAGACCUCCGCGUUUUCCCUUUCAC